AUUGAACGCUGGCGGCAUGCUUUACACAUGCAAGUCGAACGGUAACAGGGACUUCGGUCUGCUGACGAGUGGCGAACGGGUGAGUAACAUAUCGGAACGUGCCCAGUAAUGGGGGAUAGCUCGGCGAAAGCCGGAUUAAUACCGCAUACGCCCUGAGGGGGAAAGUGGGGGAUCUUCGGACCUCACGUUAUUGGAGCGGCCGAUAUCAGAUUAGCUAGUUGGUGGGGUAAAGGCCUACCAAGGCGACGAUCUGUAGCUGGUCUGAGAGGAUGAUCAGCCACACUGGGACUGAGACACGGCCCAGACUCCUACGGGAGGCAGCAGUGGGGAAUUUUGGACAAUGGGCGAAAGCCUGAUCCAGCCAUGCCGCGUGAGUGAAGAAGGCCUCGGUGUAAGAUCUUCUAGUGGGAGGAGUAAUAG
rnacentral:rRNA from 1 species